rnacentral:lncRNA from 1 species
AGAUAUGCAUUAAUGGUGGAACUUCCCAGCAAAAUAUUCCAAUACAAUGUAAAUCAUUACCUACUAAAAAUCUCAGUUCCACAGAAGGAGAUGAGCCAUAUUGGGAACCUGUAAGAAUACAUGCUUACAUCAUCUUCAAUGCAUGAAAGCAGUAUCUAUAUGAGAAAUUAUUGAAUGAGAUAGCAGAUUCUGAAACAUAUUACAAGAGAAUUGCUUGUCCAGUAUCCCUCAGAAAAUUGAUGGCUGGCCUCUCUCUAAAACUUUUCCACUUACUCUCUGCUAGAAACAUAUGCUCUGAAGCAUUACAACUCUAAAAACCUUUUCAUGGAAUUCACUAGAAACUUAAAUUCAUUGCUCAGAAAUGAGUGGAAAACCACUUAGCCUGUAAGUAUAAGGCAAGAGAGACCUGUAUUUGCUCUUGUUGGGCCAUAAAGCAAUCUUACCUCAGGUACUCCAGUAACUACAACUGCAUGAGAAUGAGAAUUGUGAUAUGUUCACAAAAAUAAAUCUUUGUAACUUUUCCCAAGGUGGAAGACAGAGACCUGUCCCACGUUCCUUUUAAAUUUGAAUCCAAAUUCUUGCCUCUGUUUAAUCCAGAGCCUAUGCUGCCGUGCCCAGUCCAUCCAUUUAUUUAUUUAUUACAUUUACAUAGCACCUUUCCUCCAGAGCAACGUCUUUGUCAGAGCUGGCUCCUGGGGGAACAAUUGAUCACAGGGAUGUUGUGGAGCCUGCAGAGUAAGCAGAAUAUCAAACACUCUCUUAUAUUAGAAACAGGGAUGACUUCCCAGGAUUUUUACUGUGCAGAUGCUUAUUUCACUUCAUUUUUAAAGGAUGGUUACUAUAGGAAAUUUCUAAAAUCCUGGAAGGGGUAAAAUUUCUCUGUUUUAUUCAUUUUAUAGCCCUAAAAAAUAAUGCCUAUCCUACCAUUUUGUCACAGUCUGAUAACAAAUUAAAGUAGGUAAAUUUUCUUAUUUGCCAGUUUAAAUAAGGUAGGAGAAAAGUAGAAAUGUCUCUUGUUCAUUGGAAUUGGGCUUUGGUAGAUUCAUAGACAUUUUGAUUUAUAGAUAUAUCUCUCAAUCUUUUCUGAGCUGUGUCAUACCUUUUUAUCUCAGUACACUUAAAAAAAAAAACAGGCAACGGUUAAAACAUUGAAAACACAUUGCAGGUUAUAUUUGUGUUGGGAGUGCAUUGUCCUUGACCCAUAUGAUAAUAGUUAGGAGGUACUAACACAGAGCUGCUGAUAGUCAUGUUUCUGUACUCUAGCCAUAACAACACAUUACCAUGUUUCUUCACAGUGGAUAAACAUGGAAGUGCUUUAAAACAAUGCUUAAGAGGUUGACGGAACAGGUGAAGACAUAUUAUUGCCAAAAGAGCAUUAAGGUAAGGUCGGGAAAAUUGACUUACAGCCUAAGAUUCAUCAUUACUUGCUGUGUGACUUUGGAUAAUUCAUUUGCUAUUGAUAAUUCAUUUGCUAUUGAUAAUUCAUUUGCUAUCUCUGACCCUUAGUUUCCUCAUCUAUACACUAAAGUGGAAAUCCUAGACAAUCUCAGGUCAUUUCCUCAAUGAGUCUUCUUGGAAACUUGAAUCAGGUUCUCAGAAGUCAUUGGUAAAGAUAAAGUAGGUGAUAGAAUCAAACCUUGUGACCAUAUUUGUUGCCUAUAUUUGUUGUAUAUUUACUACAUGCCAGGUGUCAUGCUAGGUAACACAAACCUAAAAAAGAGGCUUCUCAGUGAGAGAAAGCUUAUAUUCCAGGGAGACGGAAAUUAAAUGAAAAGGUGCUUAUAUACUUACAACUGAGAUUUAAAAAAAACUGUGCAACAAAAAAUACAGGAUGUUAUUGAGAGGUUAUAAUACAAUUUAGUUAUCUAGGCCAAGUGCAUGCUUUGUUGGAUUUUGUUAAAAAUUCUCUGCGAUAUUUCCAAGGAGCAUAUUUUUUUUCACGCAUGUGUUUUAGGGAGAGUCAUAGCGCAGGGCUACAAUUGAUGAAGCAUCUUUCAGAGCAUUAUUUAUAUCCUGAAACAGUAAAAGCAAGCAGUUAACUAUAUCAUAAGAGCCACCCGAAAUUACGCUGAGUCUCUUUACAGCAAAACAUGGAACAUCAAUAUGGUUUUCUGGCUUAUUUCAGUGACUUUAAUUCUGGACUAUCUUUUUAAAGAUAUUGGUACAGUGAAAACUCUUGGAAGAUAGAGAUAGUGUUUCCUAUCAGAACAAAUGGUAAAUUUGCUCAUAGUCUCAGAAGAAAGGCUUGCUUUGCUGUGCAGUAUAAUAAAGAUAAUGAUUCCCCACUCCCUGGAGAAAGGGGAGGCAUAUUUAUCACCCAUUUUGAAAGAUUUGGUUAUUCUAGGAUCACAUUCCUCUCCUGGGACACAAUCCACUAUGUUAAUUGUGCUAAUUCAAACAUGUAAGUAAUAUUUAGCCCUCUUCCUGUCAUGCUAUAGGGAUUGGAGCUUUGGGAGCAAUGCAAAAAUUACUGGUACUCUGGCUGCUGAUAUCACUGCAAAUAAUAAACUGUCCUUUGUCUUAUGAUUUAUAACAGCAUCCAUGAAUUUGUGGCAGGAUAAUUUGGUAGUUUUCAAUAAUGUAGGACUUUUAAUAAUAGCUAAUGGAGAGAAAGGAACAAGGUUUUUGUUUGUUCUAUUUUCUUUAGGAUGGAAAAACACGAAAGCACAUCCACAGCUACUAGUUGAAUCUGGCUUGAAACAAACAACUGUGACUUGGAAGAGCUUAUUACUGUUGUUUUUAAAAGAAUCUUUCUGCAUAAAGGAUUGUUUAUUUUAGUGGUAAUAAUAAUAUGUAUGGUCUUUAUUGAGUAUGUAUUACUUUCCUAAUACACAGAUCACUUCUUUUUAGGGCUGCACCUGAAGCAUAUGGAAGUUUGCAGGCUAGGGGUUGAAUAGGAGCUGCAGCUGCCAGCCUAUGCCACUGGCAUAGUAAUGCCAGAUGUGAGCCGCAUCUGCCACCUAUACCACAGCUCACAGCAAUGCCAGAUCCUUAAUCCACUGAGCAAGGCCAAGGAUCAAACCCACAUCCUCAUGGAUACUAGUUGGGUUCAUUACCACUGAGCCACAGUGGAAACUCCCAUCAAUUCAUUUAAUCCUCAGGGAGAAAAAAAAAACAAAAAACAAAAAACGAAGAAAUAGGAUACGCUUGGGCUCACACUUUUGCCAACCUGCCUACUGUUACUUCUCACUCUUGCUGUAGCCUUUUUGGUCAUUCCACUCCGUACACCAUGGUCACUCUAGUUCUCACUUUAUCCAUAUAGAAACUUGAAGCUCUUGGGUUCUUGGUAAUCUAGGACUCAAACAGCAUGGUGCCAUUUUUCCUCCACUGACUAUGGCACUCUGUGGAGGAUGCUCCUUCUGUCAGCAUGCACAGAGACCAUUAACUCCCAGCCAGGUUAUACAUUAUUUAACUUUAAUUCUGUCCUUAAUGACCUCAGGCCAAAACAUAAGUCCAUAUCAUCCCCAGACAGACCAAGAGUCCCUCUUUCUCAAGACUAAUUAUUUGUGGUUACAGUAGAAUGGGAGUAUUGUAUUGCAGCCAAGUAUAUUUGGGGAUCAGUUUUCUUAAUUUUUGAGUAUAAAUAUUACUAGUAAUAAGUGUCUCUAUGUGUCUAGCAAUGACCAUAUGUAAUCUUGAGUCUUCAUGAUAAUCCAAAGGACUGAAACUAAGCUUCACAAGAUCAAGAAAAUUUCAGUAUAGGAUAAGCAAUAAGUAGAAUAUAGUUAUUAAAAACUUUGGUUCUGGGGAGUCCCCACUGUGGCUCAGUGGGUUAAGAAUCCAUGUGCAGCAGCUUUGGUCACUGCGGUGGUAUGGGUUUGAUCCCCUGCCUGGUGCAGUGGGUUUAAGAAUCCCAUGUUUCCACUGCUGUGGCUUGGAUUCAAUACCUAGCCCAGGAACCUCCAUAUGCUGCAGGUGCAGACAUUAAAACAAGAACAAAAACCAAAAAAAAAUUUUGGCUCUGGAGUCAGGCUAACUACAAAUUAAAAUUCUGACUCUACCUUCUCCUAGCUUUGACCUAAUUGUUAAGCCUCAGUUUCCUCUGUGCAUAAGGAGAAUAAUAAGAGCAUUUAAUUUAUAAGGAUAUUGUGAGGAUUUAAUUGAAGUGCUGCCAUAUGUUUUGAAAAAUGUCAAGUGAAUAGUAACUGCCCAACAAAUACCUGCAGUUAUUGUUAUUAAUCCCAAUUUAAGGUAAAAAGUGAGCGAGUGGUAGUACAUGACUUGAACUCAGGAUAAGAUUACCAGGAAAAAUGCAAGACACACAGUUACACUGAAUUUCAGAUUAAAAAAGAAUUUUUUUUUGGUAUAAGUAAAUUCCAAAUAUUUCAUGGAACAUCCUUGUACUAAAAAUUAGUCAUUUUUUUUCUGACAUUAAAAUUUAACUAGACAUGUUAUAGAUUUCCUAAACUUAACUUUAAAUCAAGUUAAAUUAGUCCUAAAACCCAUGCCUUGUGCACUGUACUAAAUUAAAGAAAAUUGAUUAUUUCAAUAUUGUCUAUAUUAUCUCCUUUUUUUCCCCAAAAAUCUGUAUUUCCUGUGUUUCUUCUUAUUCUCAACAGUCACUGGAAAGUAGUUGAGAGAAGGGAGAGAUGAAGAAACUCAAAUCACAUAUUAUUGUUAUCAGCCCUGACAGAAUUUAAGAAAAUAUAAGCUGAAUUAAGUGAUAAAAAGGUGUCAGGGACUAGCUCUUUUGGGGAAGCCUGCCUUGAGUUCAUGCUGGAUUAAUUAGCCUCUUUUGUGCUUCAUACCAUGCUAGGAAAUGUCCCUCUACCAGGCCACUUCUCACACUCACCAGGGCAAACAUGGACUCUCAUCAGAAUUAAGGGCUUAUUAAACCAGAGGUGUCUGGGUCCCACUGUCAGAGAUUCUGACCAAGUAGAUCAGGGUAGACCAUGAGAAUUUGCCUUCUAACCAGCUUCCAGGUGAUGGUCAUGAUGUCAGUCCAGGAGACAUACUUUGUCGACUUUGACUUUAUUGUAAUUAUCAGUUUACUCCUUUGUCCUCUGAUUAGGUGGUGAGAUCUUUUUUUUUUUUUUUUUUUUGGUGGUUGUUGUCUUUUUGCCAUUUCUUGGGCCACUCCUGUGGCAUGUGGAGGUUCCCUGGCUAGGGGUCUAAUCAGAGCUGUAGCCACUGGCCUAUGCCAGAGCCACAGCAAUGUGGGAUCCGAGCCGCAUCUGCAACCCACACCACAGCUCAUGGCAAUGCCGGAUUCUCAGCCCACUGAGCAAGGCCAGGAUCAAACCUGCAUCCUCAUGGUUCCCGGUCGGAUUCGAUAAUCACUGCACCACUACGGGAACUCUGAGAUCUUUGAUAGUGAAUCUAAUGCUAACUUCCCCAAAUUCAAUUUUCCAAAAGUCAGCUCACCAAAGAUUAAUGCUCAUCAACUCCUUGCAGACUUGUUCUUGGUAUAUUUGGUUUGCCCCAGCCCAAUCUCUAUUCUGCCUUUGUUCCUGCCCAACCCUGGCCCUGGAGAAAAUCUGGCUGUGGUGAACUCAGCUAGACUUCGCGUUUUUCAGACAGCCUCUGUGUCUGGCCCAAAGGUGGGGCCAAAGGUCAGGGCAAAGACGAAAUAUAGACAGGGCAUAUAUCCACUAGACAGAGGUUAAAGUAUCACACACAAAUAGACAAGGAAAAGCACAUUCAAUCUCCAUUCACCUAAACAGGGCAGGAACAAAGUAAGUGUGAAAGUUAAAUAAAUAAAUACAAUUAAAUAGCUUUUCAUUGAGUUAGUCACUUAGUGAAUUAAUAUCAGGAGACUUUUUUGUUGUUGUUCAUGAAUUGCUAUUUAACAAAUUAACUUUGAUCUUUCUUUGGGGUAGGAAUCAUCUUGUUUAACAUUAAAUAAUAUAUAGUACUUCUAAGUACUUAAUAAUUCUCAUUCAAUUAUUGAAUAAAUGAAUUUGUAGAAGUCAAUUAGCCAUGAUACUCUUGAGCCUUAUGAUGAGUGAGAGGAUUACUUAAAUAUCAAAUUGGAAAGAGAUUAGCAGGUUUUUUUUUCUGUAAGAUGUAUCAGAUUUAAUGCAGUAUCUCCAAAUGAAAAGUGUGUCUCUUGAAAGUAGCAGCUGUUCUUUAAGACUAUGAUUCAGUAAAUUCUAAUUUUUCUUCUACUGACAAUUCUUUUACUGACAUAUAGUGCAAAGAUAUUACAGAAGUUAGAAAUAAUAUUGAGAAAAAAGGCAAAGUAAGCUUGUCUGGAUUAUUACUAUGCCUCUUGAAGCUAGAGUAAUAGGGGGUCUUUCUGUUGAGCUGGAAAACUUUUGGUUGUUGUGGAAAUAUGUUAAGGAAAUGCUGAUGAUCCUGAUUCAUUUUAAGGAAGCUUAAUUGACACAUGAUUGGAAAUGCAGAAGACAGAACUACUAUCUGCCUAUGUUCUAGAAAUUAGGUAUUCCUAUAUAGUUUAGGAAUAAAGUAUUUAUUAUAUGGUCUGAAUAUCUUUUAAGACUGAAUAUCCUUUUCAAAGUCAUCUUACACCAUAGAAUCUUAUAAUUGGAAAGGACUUGAAAUAUUACAUGGUUAAUAUAUACACUUAAAACAGUUGCUAGGAGUUCCGUUGUGGCUCAGCAGUUAACAAAUCUGACUAGUACCCAUGAGGAUGUGGGUUCCAUCCCUGGCCUUCUUCAGUGGGUUCAGGUUCUGGUGUUGCCAUGAGCUGUGGUGUAGGUCAUAGAUGUGGCUUGGAUCUGGCAUUGCUGAUGCUGUGGCCUAGGCCAGCAGUUGUAACUCCAAAUUGACCCCUAGCCUGGGUACUUCCAUAUGCUGUGGGUGUGGCCCUAAAAAGCAAAAAAAAAAAA